rnacentral:rRNA from 1 species
GUGGGGAAUAUUGGACAAUGGGCGAAAGCCUGAUCCAGCCAUGCCGCGUGUGUGAAGAAGGUCUUCGGAUUGUAAAGCACUUUAAGUUGGGAGGAAGGGCAGUAAGUUAAUACCUUGCUGUUUUGACGUUACCGACAGAAUAAGCACCGGCUAACUUCGUGCCAGCAGCCGCGGUAAUACGAAGGGUGCAUGCGUUAAUCGGAAUUACUGGGCGUAAAGCGCGCGUAGGUGGUUUUGUAAGUUGGAGGUGAAAUCCCCGGGCUCAACCUGGGAACUGCCUCCAAAACUGCAUGACUAGAGUACGGUAGAGGGUAGUGGAAUUUCCUGUGUAGCGGUGAAAUGCGUAGAUAUAGGAAGGAACACCAGUGGCGAAGGCUACUACCUGGACUGAUACUGACACUGAGGUGCGAAAGCGUGGGGAGCAAACAGGAUUAGAAACCCCUGUAGUCC